CCUACGGGAGGCAGCAGUAGGGAAUUUUGCGUAAUGGGCGAAAGCCUGACGCAGCAACACCGCGUGAAUGUUAAGCCCUUUGGGGUUUAAAGUUCUGUCAAUAGGGACGAAUAUUGACUGUACCUGUACAAGAAGCACCGGCUAACUCCGUGCCAGCAGCCGCGGUAAUACGGGGGGUGCAAGCGUUGUCCGGAAUCAUUGGGCGUAAAGCGAUCGUAGGCGGCAAGGUAAGUCUGAUGUGAAAGCCCGGGGCUCAACUCCGGGUCGGCAUUGGAUACUAUCUAGCUAGAAUGUGGUAGAGGUAAAGGGAAUUCCUGGUGUAGCGGUGAAAUGCGUAGAUAUCAGGAGGAACAUCAGUGGCGAAGGCGCUUUACUGGACCAUUAUUGACGCUGAGGAACGAAAGCCAGGGGAGCAAAUGGGAUUAGAUACCCUUGUAGUC
rnacentral:rRNA from 1 species